UAAUACGUAGGGUCCAAGCGUUAUCCGGAAUCACUGGGCGUAAAGCGUGCGUAGGUGGAUGUUUAAGUGUGAUGUUAAAUCGUGUGGCUCAACCAUAUCGAUGCAUCGCAUACUGGACGUCUAGAGGACAGCAGAGGCAAGUGGAAUUUGUAGUGUAGCAGUGAAAUGCGUAGAUAUUACAAGGAACACCAAUGGCGAAGGCAGCUUGCUGGGCUACUCCUGACACUGAGGUACGAAAGCGUGGGGAGCGAACAGGAUUAGAUACCCUGGUAGUCCACGCCGUAAACGAUGCAUACUAGACGUAUGGGGUAUCGACCCCCUGUGCGUCGCAGCUAACGCGUUAAGUAUGCCGCCUGGGAAGUACGGCCGCAAGGCUA
rnacentral:rRNA from 1 species